GAUGAACGCUGGCGGCGUGCCUAAUACAUGCAAGUCGAGCGAACGGACGAGAAGCUUGCUUCUCUGAUGUUAGCGGCGGACGGGUGAGUAACACGUGGAUAACCUACCUAUAAGACUGGGAUAACUUCGGGAAACCGGAGCUAAUACCGGAUAAUAUUUUGAACCGCAUGGUUCAAAAGUGAAAGACGGUCUUGCUGUCACUUAUAGAUGGAUCUGCGCUGCAUUAGCUAGUUGGUAAGGUAACGGCUUACCAAGGCAACGAUGCAUAGCCGACCUGAGAGGGCGAUCGGCCACACUGGAACUGAGACACGGUCCAGACUCCUACGGGAGGCAGCAGUAGGGAAUCUUCCGCAAUGGGCGAAAGCCUGACGGAGCAACGCCGCGUGAGUGAUGAAGGUCUUCGGAUCGUAAAACUCUGUUAUUAGGGAAGAACAUAUGUGUAAGUAACUGUGCACAUCUUGACGGUACCUAAUCAGAAAGCCACGGCUAACUACGUG
rnacentral:rRNA from 1 species